rnacentral:rRNA from 1 species
AGGCUUAACACAUGCAAGUCGAGGGGAAACGAUAUUGGAAGCUUGCUUCCGAUAGGCGUCGACCGGCGCACGGGUGAGUAACGCGUAUCCAACCUGCCCACCACUUGGGGAUAACCUUGCGAAAGUAAGACUAAUACCCAAUGACGUCUCUAGAAGACAUCUGAAAGAGAUUAAAGAUUUAUCGGUGAUGGAUGGGGAUGCGUCUGAUUAGCUUGUUGGCGGGGUAACGGCCCACCAAGGCGACGAUCAGUAGGGGUUCUGAGAGGAAGGUCCCCCACAUUGGAACUGAGACACGGUCCAAACUCCUACGGGAGGCAGCAGUGAGGAAUAUUGGUCAAUGGACGAGAGUCUGAACCAGCCAAGUAGCGUGCAGGAAGACGGCCCUAUGGGUUGUAAACUGCUUUUAUAAGGGAAUAAAGUUAGUCUCGUGAGACUUUUUGCAUGUACCUUAUGAAUAAGGACCGGCUAAUUCCGUGCCAGCAGCCGUGGUAAUACGGAAGGUCCGGGCGUUAUCCGGAUUUAUUGGGUUUAAAGGGAGCGUAGGCCGGAGAUUAAGCGUGUUGUGAAAUGUAGAUGCUCAACAUCUGAACUGCAGCGCGAACUGGUUUCCUUGAGUACGCACAAAGUGGGCGGAAUUCGUGGUGUAGCGGUGAAAUGCUUAGAUAUCACGAAGAACUCCGAUUGCGAAGGCAGCUCACCGGAGCGCAACUGACGCUGAAGCUCGAAAGUGCGGGUAUCGAACAGGAUUAGAUACCCUGGUAGUCCGCACGGUAAACGAUGGAUGCCCGCUGUUGGUCUGAAUAGGUCAGCGGCCAAGCGAAAGCAUUAAGCAUCCCACCUGGGGAGUACGCCGGCAACGGUGCAACUCAAAUGAAUUGACGGA